rnacentral:tRNA from 1 species
UCCGUAGAUGAGACUACAGCUCACCG